GCUCCAGCACCUGCACAAAGAAGUGUGCGGUGGCCCGGCGUCGGGGCUUCGACAGCCGGGCGUCUGUUUGACCCAAAUCCUACAGCUCCGAAUCCCCAGGCUGUCGGAGAUCCCCACAAAGAGCCCCACUGGCAUAAAACACGCUUCCCGGCAGAAACAGGAUAGAGCGCCCUAACCGAAAGCCUCUCCCCAACAGGAUCACGCUCUGCCCGGGAGAAAGGCGCCAGACCUCACCUCAGAGAGCUACGUAUCCUAACACCAACACCCAGGUACACCCUCGGCAAGGAUCCCGGUACACACGCACCCUGCCCUGUGCUCUCACAACUCCAGGUCGGGCGAUGGACACCCCCAGAAACAGAUAUAUUCAGAGUCACAUAGACCAUGCCACAAAUAAUACUCAUGCUGCGGAGGAUGCCAGAUUUGCGUCAGGCGCUGGGGUACAAGCAUCACGUGUACAAGCAGGAAGACAGCAAACAUUUAUGAACUGUGUGAUACUCCAAACAUUGGGUUAAGCAAGCACUGGGGAGAAAGCAAUAAAACACCGUCUCUUACAUGUCUAAUGAGGGAGACCCAAACAGGACUGUGGCUCACUCCCAUGACACCAACCUCAAUCAGCAGUUCAGCUCUCACCUGUCUCUGGGGCAGCACCGUGCCCUGCUGUGGUAGAAGAAACCUUGGGAUCUAGCAUGGUCCUCUUGCUGCCAUUGACACGUAACAUUCUUCAGGUCCAAGAAGCAAGUGAGGUCCUCAAAUGUUCGGGAGAAACACUUCAGGGGCUCUGAGUCCGAGGCCAGCAAGGAGACAUCUAAGGAACAGCUGAGAUGAGGAAACGGAGAUGUAGAGAAGUUAAGGAUUUGCCCAAGAUUACAUAUGUACUAAGACAUGAAGCUCAAGAGGUCAACCUUCAGAACCCAUAGCCAAGAUUGACACAAACACUUUCUCACCCAUCUUCUUAUGCAAGGAACGUCUUGCUUGUGGCAGCUUGGCUGCUGUGGGCUGGGAGUCUCAGAAGCCCUCCUAAGCAGCUGCCCAUCUAAUUUUGGCUGGAGGUGAGUUUCCAUCUCUCUCUGGCCCUGCCAUAGCCAGCCCCUGAUUGCCUUGGAAGAACUGCCUUUGAAAUUUGACAUCUGUACCCAGACAGGCAGCAAAAUUCCUUAUGGCAGCACCCAAAGGCUUGAAAUUAGCCAUUCCAAGUGUGUCCAAAAAACUAAAGGAAACCAUGACUAAAGAAGUAAAGAUAGAAAUGAUAUGCAUCAAAUAGAGAAGAAUAAAAGGAUCCCAUCAAUAUAGGGAUAGACUGUAAGAAAAUAGAAAUUCUAGAGUUAAAAAGUACAAUAACUGAAGUGAAAAAUCCACUAGAGGUGCUCAAUAAUAGAUCUGAACUGGCAGAAGAAUCAGUGAACUUUAUAAAUCAAUAAAAAUUAAGCAAUUUGAAGAACAGAGAGGAAAAAGAAUUACAAAUUUACAGAGCCUCAGAAAAAUGUGGGACACCAUUAAGCACACCAACUAAUGCAUAAGGUGAAUGCUAGAAGGAGAGGAGAAAGAGAAAGGAACAGAAAAAAACAUUUUCAUAAAUAAUUGCUGAAAAUAUUACAAAUUUAUUGGGAAACAUCAAUGUACACAUAUAGGAAGCUCAAUGAACUCCAAGUAGGAAAAACACAAAGAGAUCCACAAACAGACACAUUUUGGUAAAAAUAAUGAAAGCUGAAGACGAGAAGAAAAUUUUGAAAGCAUCGAUAGAAAAAUGACUGAUCACUUACAAAAGGGUCCCAAUAAGAUUAAUAGCAGAUAUCUCAGCAACGACAAUGGAAGCCAGAAGAGAAUGGGAUAACAUGUUCAAAGUGCUUAAAGGAAAAGCUGUCAAACAAAAACUCAGCAAAGCUAUCUUUUAGAACUGAAGGUGAAAUAAAAACAUUGCCAACAAAAACUGAAAAAAUAUGUUGCUAGCAGAUUUGACUUACAUGAAAUACUAAAGGAAAUCCUUCAGGUUGACAGCAAGUUACUCCAGAUAGUAAUUCAAAUCCACACAAAACAAAGAGCACUGGUAAAGCCAGUAGACAAGAUUUGACUCUGGAGGUGAUGUCUGAGCCAACAGGUAUUUGGAGUCUGGAGAAAAAGCCAUGCUAAUAAAUUUCUGAACUUGGAAGUCAAAAUUAUUAAGAACUUUGCGCUUCCGGCAAGGGAUGGAUGACAAUUCAUAAAUGGUGAUGGCAGGUUUUUCUUGCACAGUCUCAGAGAUAGCGAGAUACCGCCGAUUGGGACUGAUGGACAAGGCCAACAUGCCCUGACUCUUGUCUGAGCCUGCAAACAGAGGAAAAAGGAAAUAAUCAGGGUAGAUCACACUUUCACCAGGAUUCAACAGGAACCAGGCACAGUAGUGGGCACUGGAGUGGACAGAAAGAAUAAAGGCGGCCUUGGCAUA